GAUGAACGCUGGCGGCGUGCCUAAUACAUGCAAGUCGAACGCGCAGCGAGAGGUGCUCGCACCUUUCAAGCGAGUGGCGAACGGGUGAGUAACACGUGGAUAACCUGCCUCAAGGCUGGGGAUAACAUUUGGAAACAGAUGCUAAUACCGAAUAAAACUUAGUAUCGCAUGAUAUCAAGUUAAAAGGCGCUACGGCGUCACCUAGAGAUGGAUCCGCGGUGCAUUAGUUAGUUGGUGGGGUAAAGGCUUACCAAGACGAUGAUGCAUAGCCGAGUUGAGAGACUGAUCGGCCACAUUGGGACUGAGACACGGCCCAAACUCCUACGGGAGGCUGCAGUAGGGAAUCUUCCACAAUGGGCGCAAGCCUGAUGGGGCAACGCCGCGUGUGUGAUGAAGGCUUUCGGGUCGUAAAGCACUGUUGUAUGGGAAGAAAUGCUAAAAUAGGGAAUGAUUUUAGUUUGACGGUACCAUACCAGAAAGGGACGGCUAACUACGUGCCAGCCGCCGCAGUAA
rnacentral:rRNA from 1 species